GACGAACGCUGGCGGCGUGCUUAACACAUGCAAGUCGAACGGAAAGGCCCUGCUUGCAGGCUACUCGAGUGGCGAACGGGUGAGUAACACGUGGGUGAUCUGCCCUGCACUUCGGGAUAAGCCGGGGAAACUGGGUCUAAUACCGGAUAGGAGCCAUUUUUAGUGUGAUGGUUGGAAAGUUUUUUCGGUGUAUGAUGAGCUCGCGGCCUAUCAGCUUGUUGGUGGGGUAAUGGCCUACCAAGGCGGCUACGGGUAGCCGGACUGAGAGGGUGGACGGCCACAUUGGGACUGAGAUACGGCCCAGACUCCUACGGGAGGGAGAAGUGGGGAAUAUUGCACAAUGGGCGCAAGCCUGAUGCAGAGACGCCGCGUGGGGGAUGACGGCCUUCGGGUUGUAAACUCAUUUCGCUAGGGACGAAGCUUUUUGUGACGGUACCUAGAGAAGAAGCACCGGCUAACUACGUG
rnacentral:rRNA from 1 species